rfam:Salmo salar isolate Sally breed double haploid chromosome ssa15, whole genome shotgun sequence.
CCAAAGGCUCUUUUAAGAGCCACCUAAUAAAGUAUAGACUUAGUUCU